rnacentral:lncRNA from 1 species
CCGACCUGCAGGCCCACGGCGCUCAAGGUAAUAGGGUCCCCAGCCCUGGAAUCAACUCCCUGGGUCUCGGAACGCAACCCACACAAACCUGGACCCUGUCUCUCACUGGCGGGGAGUCGCCUUCGCAUGCAGACGUGGAGAAGUCGCCUCCACCCGCAGCUCCUCCCGUGGACCCAGGCCGCCUCCCCCACGCCCCUCCCGGAGUCCCCAGACCCUCCGUGGCGCUCCUGGUACCGCCCCCACUGCCCCACUCACAAAGAGCCUCAGCUUCUUCUCGGGGGGCGACUUCCUCAGCCAGCCGCUGUACAGCACGUGGCCACUUCUCGUGCUUCCGCCGGCGGGGCCACUUCCGGGCCACGAAGACAAAGGCGCAAAUGCCGGGUCAGGGUGGAAAGAACCCUCUUCCAGAAUAUGUC